UACAGAGGUCUCAAGCGUUGUUCGGAUUCAUUGGGCGUAAAGGGUGCGUAGGCGGCGCGGUAAGUCGGGUGUGAAAUCUCGGGGCUUAACUCCGAAACUGCAUUCGAUACUGCCGUGCUUGAGGACUGGGGAGGAGACUGGAAUUACGGUGUAGCGGUGAAAUGCGUAGAUAUCGUAAGGAAGACCAGUGGCGCAGGCGAGUCCCUGGACAACACCUGACACUGAGGCACGAAAGCUAGGGGAGC
rnacentral:rRNA from 1 species